rnacentral:rRNA from 1 species
UACGUAGGGGGGCUAGCGUUGUCCGGAUUUAUUGGGCGUAAAGGGCGCGUAGGCGGCCUGAUAAGUAGGGGGUGAAAUCUUGCGGCUCAACCGCAAGGCUGCCUUCUAAACUGUCAGGCUGGAGCACGGUAGAGGCAGAUGGAAUUCCCGGUGUAGCGGUGGAAUGCGUAGAGAUCGGGAAGAACACCAGUGGCGAAGGCGGUCUCGCUGGGCCGUUGCUGACGCUGAGGCGCGACAGCGUGGGGAGCAAACAGG